UGAGCGAGUAGAAGCGGUCUGAGCCUUAAGACAUAGCGGGUUUCACCCAUAAGAUGUCAGGUGGCUCUGGGCAUUGCUCGACGG
rnacentral:ncRNA from 1 species